rnacentral:rRNA from 1 species
GAUGAACGCUGGCGGCGUGCUUAACACAUGCAAGUCGGACGGAGUGCUCAUGACGGAGUUUUCGGACAACUGAUUGAGUUACUUAGUGGCGGACGGGUGAGUAACGCGUGAGGAACCUGCCUCGGAGUGGGGAAUAACAACCCGAAAGGGUUGCUAAUACCGCAUAAUGCAGUUGGGUCGCAUGGCUCUGACUGCCAAAGAUUUAUCGCUGUGAGAUGGCCUCGCGUCUGAUUAGCUUGUUGGUGAGGUAACGGCUCACCAAGGCGACGAUCAGUAGCCGGACUGAGAGGUUGGCCGGCCACAUUGGGACUGAGACACGGCCCAG